AGAGUUUGAUCCUGGCUCAGGAUGAACGCUAGCGACAGGCUUAACACAUGCAAGUCGAGGGGCAGCACAGGUAGCAAUACCGGGUGGCGACCGGCGCACGGGUGAGUAACGCGUAUGCAACUUACCUAUCAGAGGGGGAUAACCCGGCGAAAGUCGGACUAAUACCGCAUGAAGCAGGGGCCCCGCAUGGGGAUAUUUGCUAAAGAUUCAUCGCUGAUAGAUAGGCAUGCGUUCCAUUAGGCAGUUGGCGGGGUAACGGCCCACCAAACCGACGAUGGAUAGGGGUUCUGAGAGGAAGGUCCCCCACAUUGGUACUGAGACACGGACCAAACUCCUACGGGAGGCAGCAGUGAGGAAUAUUGGUCAAUGGGCGUAAGCCUGAACCAGCCAAGUCGCGUGAGGGAUGAAGGUUCUAUGGAUCGUAAACCUCUUUUAUAAGGGAAUAAAGUGCGGGACGUGUCCCGUUUUGUAUGUACCUUAUGAAUAAGGAUCGGCUAACUCCGUGCCAGCAGCCGCGGUAAUACGGAGGAUCCGAGCGUUAUCCGGAUUUAUUGGGUUUAAAGGGUGCGUAGGCGGCCUUUUAAGUCAGCGGUGAAAGUCUGUGGCUCAACCAUAGAAUUGCCGUUGAAACUGGGGGGCUUGAGUAUGUUUGAGGCAGGCGGAAUGCGUGGUGUAGCGGUGAAAUGCUUAGAUAUCACGCAGAACCCCGAUUGCGAAGGCAGCCUGCCAAGCCAUGACUGACGCUGAUGCACGAAAGCGUGGGGAUCAAACAGGAUUAGAUACCCUGGUAGUCCACGCAGUAAACGAUGAUCACUAGCUGUUUGCGAUACACUGUAAGCGGCACAGCGAAAGCGUUAAGUGAUCCACCUGGGGAGUACGCCGGCAACGGUGAAACUCAAAGGAAUUGACGGGGGCCCG
rnacentral:rRNA from 1 species